AAGUAUUGUACCUUACAUGGAUUUGCGACUAGAAAAAACAUUUAAACAUUUAAGGGCUAAAUUUUUAACAUAAUCUUUGGCUGGUAGUUAUUAUGACUAGGUAGGUAGGUAUUACAAUAAUAUAUGUAUUACUUAUGUAGAUUAAGAUGUCUGACUAAGCUCUAACAAAUAAAUAAAUAAUUUCAGUUUUUCUUAAUAAACUAAAACACCUCAUAUAAGUACCUUGCUCUAUUAAACAUUAUAGGAUAUAAUGUAUAAGAAAUACCAAACAGAAUAAUACAACUAAUAUAAGCUAUUGGAAGGAUGAUUUUUAUGACAUUCCAAAUAUUGGUCCUAUUUUUUUAUAGUAGGUAGGUAUAUAAAGGCACCUUGAAUCACUUGUUUGAUGAUUGUGAUGCUAUAAAGAUAGUUAUUUGUUUUUUAAUAUACAUGUAAGUAUGUGAAUAUAUUUAGAGCUUUAAAAGCCAAACCUACCAUAUAAAACAUAAAUAUAUUCAUUUAACACUGCCAUUUAAAAAGGGUAUGUUUAGUAAUUAUAUUAAAUAUGAUUUCAACAAUGACCAAUUCACAAUAACAGGGCAAUAUAAGGCACCACAAUAUAGGUAUUAGUAGGUAUUGCGACACAAUUGCUAAAUAUACUUACUUAUGUAUAAAAUUUGUAAGAAACUAAAAGUGCAUCUGAGAUAAG